rnacentral:lncRNA from 1 species
CUGUGAUUUAAGGCCUGUGCUUCAACAGUAAAUCGAUCUGAGUGGAAGAGCCUGAGUGGCCAGCAGCAGAGAAGCAAAUCCAGCAAGCACGCCAGGAAUGAUGGAGUCUGGUGUGAUGAAUUGCUGACCUGACCUUUGUCCUUGCCAUUCUGAUGUAUCAUCAUCGCCUGGCUCAACAGCACAGGAUGGAUGUUACCAGCCCAAAGCCCUUGUAUAAGGAUCUGAUGAGCA